rnacentral:rRNA from 1 species
UACGGAAGGUCCGGGCGUUAUCCGGAUUUAUUGGGUUUAAAGGGAGCGUAGGCCGGAGAUUAAGCGUGUUGUGAAAUGUAGGCGCUCAACGUCUGCACUGCAGCGCGAACUGGUUUCCUUGAGUACGCACAAAGUGGGCGGAAUUCGUGGUGUAGCGGUGAAAUGCUUAGAUAUCACGAAGAACUCCGAUUGCGAAGGCAGCUCACUGGAGCGCAACUGACGCUGAAGCUCGAAAGUGCGGGUAUCGAACAGG